GCUAGGUCGGCGAGCCGCAGUCCCGGAGUCUACAAGCCUUCCAUCUCUGGCAGCUUGCUUCUCAGCCUAGCCCAGCUUCACCAUGGUGGACGCCUUCGUGGGCACCUGGAAACUAGUGGACAGCAAGAAUUUCGAUGACUACAUGAAGUCACUUGGUGUGGGCUUUGCUACCAGGCAAGUGGCCAGCAUGACCAAGCCCACUACAAUCAUCGAAAAGAAUGGGGACACCAUCAUCUUAAAAACACAGAGCACCUUCAAGAACACGGAGAUCAGUUUUCAGCUGGGGAAGGAGUUUGAUGAGACUACAGCAGAUGACAGGAAGGUCAAGUCCACUGUGACGCUGGAUGGAGGAAAACUUGUCCACGUGCAGAAGUGGGACGGGCAAGAGACUACACUUGUGCGGGAGCUAAAUGAUGGGAAACUCAUCUUGACACUCACCCAUGGCAGUGUAGUGUGCACUCGCACUUACGAGAAAGAGGCAUGACUCACCAGCACUGUCACUGACUGUUCCUCUGUCAACUGGCCACCCCUGGACUCAACACCACAUUGCCUCAUUUUUUUCCUCUGGCAUUUUGUAUAAACCUACUUUGGAGAAUUCUUCUGGGAUCAGGUGACACCAGCCUGGAUCCCCAGUUUCCAUUGUGCUUCCAACCAACGUCCUGAGAGAAGCUGGCUGUGAGAUCACAGUGAACUAGGUGUUCAACCUAGACCCAAGAAGUUAGUAUUCUGUAACCUUGGCCAGUCAUCUCACCUCACUGAGGCCCAGCCUCUGCAAAUGGAAAACAGAUGGAAAAACUGCAACUCAGAGAAGUAAAAUGAGUUCACCAAGGCUAAAGCAACAAGAACAUUGUCUUUUCUAACAGAGUUCAACAGUAUUUCUACUUUACUCUCAAGGACACCAGUUGAGAAGGGAAGAAUCACUAGAGAACCCUGGCAAGCUGGAACACAGGCUCUAGCUAGUGAAGACUGGGGAGAUGGUCUUCUCCUAGACCUCAAUCUCAAUGCCAAAAUGCUUUUGCAGCCUGAACAAGACAACCAAGGCUCCAGCAACUGGUGUCUUUUUCACUAGUCAUCCCUACGCAAGAGAAGAACAAAAGAACAGUUACUUCAGAAGCUGGAGUUCAGCAGGAAAGUUGAGAGUUGAGUGGGGGAAGACCUAGAGGGCUAAAAGCUGCUUCUGGUCCUGGACUGCAUUCAAGUACAAAGGGGAACAGAGAAUAAAGAGUAAGCUGAGCAUGGUC